rnacentral:rRNA from 1 species
GACGAACGCUGGCGGCGUGCUUAACACAUGCAAGUCGAACGGAAAGGCCCUGCUUGUGUGGGGUGCUCGAGGGGCGAACGGGUGAGUAACACGUGAGUAACCUGCCCUUGACUUUGGGAUAACUUCAGGAAACCUGGUCUAAUACCUGAUAGGAGCUCCUGCUGCAUGGUGGGGGUUGGAAAGUUUCGGCGGUUGGGGAUGGACUCGCGGCUUAUCAGCUUGUUGGUGGGGUAGUGGCUUACCAAGGCUUUGACGGGUAGCCGGCCUGAGAGGGUGACCGGCCACAUUGGGACUGAGAUACGGCCCAGACUCCUACGGGAGGCAGCAGUGGGGAAUAUUGCACAAUGGGCGGAAGCCUGAUGCAGCAACGCCGCGUGCGGGAUGACGGCCUUCGGGUUGUAAACCGCUUUCGCCUGUGACGAAGCGUGAGUGACGGUAAUGGGUGAAGAAGCACCGGCUAACUACGUG